CCUGUGAAGGCAAGCAGAUCCCAAAAAUAACGUCUCAGUUCGGAUUGUAGUCUGCAACUCGACUACAUGAAGCUGGAAUCGCUAGUAAUCGCGAAUCAGCAUGUCGCGGUGAAUACGUUCCCGGGUCUUGUACACACCGCCCGUCACACCAUGGGAGUCGGAAAUGCCCGAAGCCAGUGACCCAACCAUAAGGAGGGAGCUGUCGAAGGUGGAGCCGGUGACUGGGGUGAAGUCGUAACAAGGUAUC
rnacentral:rRNA from 1 species